GACGUAGGGCGCAAGCGUUGUCCGGAUUUAUUGGGCGUAAAGAGCUCGUAGGCGGCUUGUUGCGUCGACCGUGAAAACCCGUGGCUCAACUGCGGGCUUGCGGUCGAUACGGGCGGGCUAGAGUUCGGUAGGGGAGACUGGAAUUCCUGAGUGUAGCGGUGAAAUGCGCAGAUAUCAGGAAGAACACCCGGUGGCGAAGGCGGGCUC
rnacentral:rRNA from 1 species